AUGGUCCUUGGGGACUUUAAUAUGAUCUUAAGAGCAGAGGAGAAGAAUAACACUAAUCUUAACAGAUCCAUGAUGAGAAUAUUCAAGGCGUUUGUGGAUAAUAAUGAGCUCAAAGAGUUUUACAUGCACGGGAGGAGGUUCACGUGGUCUAACGAGAGAGAGAACAUGGUGAUGAACAAAAUUGUUCGUGUACUGGUUUCGGUGGAUUGGGAGCUCUACUACCCAGAUGUUUUACUCCAAGCUUUAUCCACGAACAUCUCGGACCACGCCCCGCUUCACCUU
rnacentral:rRNA from 1 species